AUUGAACGCUGGCGGCAUGCCUUACACAUGCAAGUCGAACGGCAGCACGGGAGCAAUCCUGGUGGCGAGUGGCGAACGGGUGAGUAAUAUAUCGGAACGUGCCCAGUCGUGGGGGAUAACGCAGCGAAAGCUGUGCUAAUACCGCAUACGAUCUACGGAUGAAAGCGGGGGAUCGCAAGACCUCGCGCGAUUGGAGCGGCCGAUAUCAGAUUAGCUAGUUGGUGGGGUAGAGGCCCACCAAGGCGACGAUCUGUAGCUGGUCUGAGAGGACGACCAGCCACACUGGAACUGAGACACGGUCCAGACUCCUACGGGAGGCAGCAGUGGGGAAUUUUGGACAAUGGGCGCAAGCCUGAUCCAGCAAUGCCGCGUGCAGGAUGAAGGCCUUCGGGUUGUAAACUGCUUUUGUACGGAACGAAACGGCUCCUUCUAAUACAAGGGGCUAAUGACGGUACCGUAAGAAUAAACACCGGCUAACUACGUGCCAGCCGCCGCAGUAACAC
rnacentral:rRNA from 1 species